CCUACGGGUGGCUGCAGUGAGGAAUAUUGGUCAAUGGGCGAGAGCCUGAACCAGCCAAGUCGCGUGAAGGAUGACGGCCCUACGGGUUGUAAACUUCUUUUGUCAGGGAGCAAUUGGGUCCACGCGUGGGCUUAGCGAGAGUACCUGAAGAAAAAGCAUCGGCUAACUCCGUGCCAGCAGCCGCGGUAAUACGGGGGAUGCGAGCGUUAUCCGGAUUUGUUGGGUUUAAAGGUUGCGUGGGCGGAAUAUCAAUUCAACGGUAAAAAUUCGGGGCUAAACCCCGUGGUGCCGUUGAAACUGAUGGUCUUGAGUGGGCGAGAGGAGUGUGGAAUGCGUGGUGUAGCGGUGAAAUGCAUAGAGAUCACGAAGAACUCCGAUUGCGAAGGCAGUAUACCGGAGCCCAACUGACGCUGAAGCACGAAAGCGUGGGUAUCGAACAGGAUUAGAUACCCGGGUAGUC
rnacentral:rRNA from 1 species